ACACAUGCAAGUCGAACGAUGAAGCCCAGCUUGCUGGGUGGAUUAGUGGCGAACGGGUGAGUAACACGUGAGUAACCUGCCCUUGACUCUGGGAUAAGCCUGGGAAACUGGGUCUAAUACCGGAUAGGAACGUCCACCGCAUGGUGGGUGUUGGAAAGAUUUAUCGGUCAUGGAUGGACUCGCGGCCUAUCAGCUUGUUGGUGAGGUAAUGGCUCACCAAGGCGACGACGGGUAGCCGGCCUGAGAGGGUGACCGGCCACACUGGGACUGAGACACGGCCCAGACUCCUACGGGAGGCAGCAGUGGGGAAUAUUGCACAAUGGGCGAAAGCCUGAUGCAGCGACGCCGCGUGAGGGAUGACGGCCUUCGGGUUGUAAACCUCUUUCAGUAGGGAAGAAGCGAAAGUGACGGUACCUGCAGAAGAAGCACCGGCUAACUACGUGCCAGCAGCCGCGGUAAUACGUAGGGUGCGAGCGUUAUCCGGAAUUAUUGGGCGUAAAGAGCUCGUAGGCGGUUUGUCGCGUCUGUCGUGAAAGUCCGGGGCUUAACCCCGGAUCUGCGGUGGGUACGGGCAGACUAGAGUGCAGUAGGGGAGACUGGAAUUCCUGGUGUAGCGGUGGAAUGCGCAGAUAUCAGGAGGAACACCGAUGGCGAAGGCAGGUCUCUGGGCUGUAACUGACGCUGAGGAGCG
rnacentral:rRNA from 1 species